UACGUAGGGGGCAAGCGGUUGUCCGGAUUUAUUGGGACGUAAAGAGCGUGUAGGCGGCCAGGUAGGUUCUGCUGUGAAAACUCGACGGCUUAACCUCGAGCUGUCGGCGGAAACCAUCUGGCUAGAGUCCGGAAGAGGAGAAUGGAAUUCCCGGUGUAGCGGUGAAAUGCGCAGAUAAUCGGGAAGAACACCGGUGGCGA
rnacentral:rRNA from 1 species